rnacentral:misc_RNA from 1 species
GCUCGGAAAAGAUGGAACUGCCUGCAUCAGCACAAAAUAAAGUAUAUAGAUUCCUUUCAUAGAUGAUAGAUCUUCUUAAGAAAAUGAGCUAGGCUUAACUCACCCCUAAAAGCUAGCUUAAAGAGCAGGCGGAGGAAGGGGAGAAGAGAAGUGCCCAAAACUAUAUAAGGGGCACAUACCACAAACUGAUGUGGGAUAUUGACACACCCCCUCACACCCAGGACCAAACACCGGGAGGGUGAAAUACUUAUGAGAGGCCUAACAUAAGUUGUAGAGGCUGUGAUACCAUCUUAAAAAAAUGACCUUAGCCUAAUUCAUUCCAAAAGCUAGCUCAAGGGGGAGGAGUGCCCAAGACCUUAUAAGGGGUACAUUACCUCUAUUCCAAACCA